rnacentral:piRNA from 1 species
UAGCUCUGGCCCACAGAUUGAUUGAUUGA